rnacentral:misc_RNA from 1 species
UCUCCGUAGGUGAACCUGCGGAGGGAUCAUUACAGAGUUCUCGCCCCUCCGGGUAGUUCUCCCACCCACUGUGAUUGAUACUGUGUUGCUUUGGCGGGCCGCCGGGCCCUGCCCGGCGGCCGGCCCCGGCUGGCGCGUUCCCGCCAGCGACCUCACCGACUCUGAAUGUUAGUGUCGUCCGUGUAACUAUACCAUCGUUAAAACUUUCAACAACGGAUCUCUUGGUUCUG